AGAGAGGGCUGUAAAGCACUGUGAAGUGAUAUAUAAGUCUAAGUGCUAUUGCUAUAAACAAAAGAAUACUUGUAUUAUUUUCAGCCAGGCAGAAAAAGAAACAUCAAAAAGGAAACCACAAUCCAGCCAAAACUGGCAGGAGACUGCUUGGAUAAGAUCUGCAGUUUCCUGGGGCUGAGAGGAAGUGACUAGCCCAAGGUCACCCAGCUGGCUUUGUUCCUAAGAAAGCAUCAAAUGAAUUGCUGGCGCUAGUCCACAGGGAAGAAAAGCUCUCCAUCCUGAACAGACAAGAGCGCUGAAAUUGCCCUAAGAGGAAAAGACUACUUUUGAACUACAGCAGGCAAAUACACCUGGAGGCUGAAUUUGUGUUGCAGGGAAUUGAACUCAUGUCUUCCAAAAAUUGUCCCUGUCUCAUUCUGGCCAUGACGACCAGGCAGGCA